AACGAACGCUGGCGGCAUGCCUAACACAUGCAAGUCGAACGAGACCUUCGGGUCUAGUGGCGCACAGGUGCGUAACGCGUGGGAACCUGCCCUUAGGUUCGGAAUAACUCCCCGAAAGGGGUGCUAAUACCGGAUAAUGUCUUCGGACCAAAGAUUUAUCGCCUUUGGAUGGGCCCGCGUUGGAUUAGCUAGUUGGUAGGGUAAAAGCCUACCAAGGCGACGAUCCAUAGCUGGUCUGAGAGGAUGAUCAGCCACACUGGGACUGAGACACGGCCCAGACUCCUACGGGAGGCAGCAGUGGGGAAUAUUGGAAAAUGGGCGAAAGGCUGAUCCAGCAAUGCCGCGUGAGUGAUGAAGGCCUUAGGGUUGUAAAGCUCUUUUACCCGGGAUGAUAAUGACAGUACCGGGAGAAUAAGCCCCGGCUAACUCCGUG
rnacentral:rRNA from 1 species